CAAAGGAAUUGACGGGGACCCGCACAAGCGGUGGAGCAUGUGGUUUAAUUCGAAGCAACGCGAAGAACCUUACCAAAUCUUGACAUCCUUUGACCACUCUAGAGAUAGAGCUUUCCCCUUCGGGGGACAAAGUGACAGGUGGUGCAUGGUUGUCGUCAGCUCGUGUCGUGAGAUGUUGGGUUAAGUCCCGCAACGAGCGCAACCCUUGAUCUUAGUUGCCAUCAUUUAGUUGGGCACUCUAGGUUGACUGCCGGUGACAAACCGGAGGAAGGUGGGGAUGACGUCAAAUCAUCAUGCCCCUUAUGAUUUGGGCUACACACGUGCUACAAUGGAUAAUACAAAGGGCAGCGAAUCCGCGAGGCCAAGCAAAUCCCAUAAAAUUAUUCUCAGUUCGGAUUGUAGUCUGCAACUCGACUACAUGAAGCUGGAAUCGCUAGUAAUCGUAGAUCAGCAUGCUACGGUGAAUACGUUCCCGGGUCUUGUACACACCGCCCGUCACACCACGAGAGUUUGUAACACCCGAAGCCGGUGGAGUAACCUUUUAGGAGCUAGCCGUCGAAGGUGGGACAAAUGAUUGGGGUGAAGUCGUAACAAGGUAGC
rnacentral:rRNA from 1 species